GAUGAACGCUGGCGGCGUGCCUAAUACAUGCAAGUCGAGCGAACAGACGAGGAGCUUGCUCCUCUGACGUUAGCGGCGGACGGGUGAGUAACACGUGGAUAACCUACCUAUAAGACUGGGAUAACUUCGGGAAACCGGAGCUAAUACCGGAUAAUAUAUUGAACCGCAUGGUUCAAUAGUGAAAGACGGUUUUGCUGUCACUUAUAGAUGGAUCCGCGCCGCAUUAGCUAGUUGGUAUGGUAACGGCUUACCAAGGCAACGAUGCGUAGCCGACCUGAGAGGUUGAUCGGCCACACUGGAACUGAGACACGGUCCAGACUCCUACGGGAGGCAGCAGUAGGGAAUCUUCCGCAAUGGGCGAAAGCCUGACGGAGCAACGCCGCGUGAGUGAUGAAGGUCUUCGGAUCGUAAAACUCUGUUAUUAGGGAAGAACAAAUGUGUAAGUAACUAUGCACGUCUUGACGGUACCUAAUCAGAAAGCCACGGCUAACUACGUG
rnacentral:rRNA from 1 species